GUGUCUUGGCCAGACAUCCACCCAACAGAUUGCUUAUCUUGAUCUUUGGGGUUUUGGUUGUUUAUAUAGAAUGUCGUCGAAUAGCUGAUUGAACAGCUGUGAGAUUGUACGAUCCUGAGAUUGUAGGGCCGUUGAACAUGCCAUUACGGAUGAGAUAUUUUAGUCUUUGAUCGUUCCCACGAAAUCAGGAGAGAUGGUUACCUUUGAACCUAUCCACUCGGGGUGGACGGCUGUUGCACAUGUUAAGAAAUGAGUUGAUCGAGGUAACAGAGACAGCUCACGUGCUUAUGUGUCAGGAAGAUCAUGGGCAGGCAAUAAGUUAGUAGCUCGGCUUUGCAUACCUCUGCUCUGCUCUUAGGUCAGCAACCACUAUAAUAGCUCGGCGGUCUGAGGAAUCCUAUGAUAACAUGCUGAUCCGAGGUAUUCACGGUAGUACCAUAACAUUAUCCCCUACUCCUAAGUCUGAGGAUUAAGCGAAUGAAGUACCUCAAAAGUUGUACCUUGGAUCAGGGGAUGCGUGUGCUUACGCUUUCAUAUGGGCCCUUAGCAUUUAAAGGUGAUGCUGUUAGCUUGACAAGUAGAAGCAUGCGGCGAAUGAUUGCGAUUGAUGGGAUCACAUAACCGGCGGUUUUCUCGAGAAUUGAAUUUCUUCAGGCGGCGGCUUUUUGUCUUCACCCUUGCCUUCUUUUACAUCUGCCCUUCGGGUGUACGGGGAAGACAAUCGCAAGAUUUUUUCACUCCAAACUUUUACUGCAACUCUUGACGAUUCUUGGAGACAAGAUGGAUCUAGAGUGUUUGAGAAAGCUCGAGCUGGUGCUGGCCAGAAAGAGGCAGGCAAAAGUUUCGUCCAUCGGUCCCUCGGUCCUGUCGGGUGGUGAUGUGAGGAUUUUGGCCGUUGAAUCGACUGUUGUGGCCAUAAGGGACAAAAAUCCUCCCUCAAUCAGUGAGCCAACUGUUGCCUUAUUAGAUGUCAUGGUGAAAUCUCCAUCGGAAGGGGUUCUGACAGAAGAGAGACCAAUGAAGAAGGC
rnacentral:lncRNA from 1 species